CCUGUCUAUUACAAAUGGAUGCCACGACAAAACUGCUCCUGUGGAUAUUGUGACAAAUCACCGUCAAUUUACCAAACAAUACACACUCUGUAAAAACUCCUGUAUCCCUUCUGGUGGAAUUAUAAUCUACAAUCUUCA